GUGCCUAUACUGCAAGUUGAGCGCUGAAGGUUGGUACUUGUACCGACUGGAUGAGCAGCGAACGCCGUUAAUAACGCGUGGGGAAUCUGCCUUUGAGCGGGGGACAACAUUUGGAAACGAAUGCUAAUACCGCAUAACAACUUUAAACACAAGUUUUAAGUUUGAAAGAUGCAAUUGCAUCACUCAAAGAUGAUCCCGCGUUGUAUUAGCUAGUUGGUGAGGUAAAGGCUCACCAAGGCGAUGAUACAUAGCCGACCUGAGAGGGUGAUCGGCCACAUUGGGACUGAGACACGGCCCAAACUCCUACGGGAGGCAGCAGUAGGGAAUCUUCGGCAAUGGACGAAAGUCUGACCGAGCAACGCCGCGUGAGUGAAGAAGGUUUUCGGAUCGUAAAACUCUGUUGGUAGAGAAGAACGUUGGUGAGAGUGGAAAGCUCAUCAAGUGACGGUAACUACCCAGAAAGGGACGGCUAACUACGUGCCAGCAGCCGCGGUAAUACGUAGGUCCCGAGCGUUGUCCGGAUUUAUUGGGCGUAAAGCGAGCGCAGGUGGUUUAUUAAGUCUGGUGUAAAAGGCAGUGGCUCAACCAUUGUAUGCAUUGGAAACUGGUAGACUUGAGUGCAGGAGAGGAGAGUGGAAUUCCAUGUGUAGCGGUGAAAUGCGUAGAUAUAUGGAGGAACACCGGUGGCGAAGGCGGCUCUCUGGCCUGUAACUGACACUGAGGCUCGAAAGCGUGGGGAGCAAACAGGAUUAGAUACGCUGGUAGUCCACGCCGUAAACGAUGAGUGCUAGAUGGAAG
rnacentral:rRNA from 1 species